UCCUCGUUAGUAUAGUGGUCAGUUUCCCCGCCUGUCACGCGGGAGACCGGGGUUCGAUUCCCCGACGGGGAG
rfam:Ixodes scapularis strain Wikel colony gcontig_1107729162900, whole genome shotgun sequence.